UCCUGGUUUCAAAAUUUACUACAAAGCUACAGUAAUCAAAAGUAGCAUACAGACAGACAUAUAGACAAAUGGAAUAGAAUAGAUGGCCCAGAAAUAAACCCUCACAUAUAUGGUCAAAUGAUUUUUGACAAUGUUCCAAGACUAUUCAAUGGAGAAAGGAUGGCCUUUUCAACAAAUGAAGUUGGGAAAACUGGAUAGCCACAUGCAAAAGAAUAAAGUUGAACCCUUACUUACACCACAUACAAAAAUUAUUUCAAAAUGGAUCAAAGACCGAAAUGUAAGACCUGAAACUAUAAAACUCUUGGAGGAAAAUAUAAAGGAAUUCAGUGGCACUGGGCUGGGGACGCCUACACUUGGGGCCCACCGGAACAGGGAAGAUGUCCUAACGACCCCCCUCGGCACCCUGACUUACUCUGGCUGGCUCACAGGAUGCUGAAAGGAAAGGUCUCUGUCCAGCUCAGCCUGUUGGUCGUCUUGUUAUUUUCUCCAUCUGUGCUGACGAGGAGACAACCAGGAAGCACUGAAGGGACCCGGGCCAAGAUCGUGGGCAGCGUGAUCCCACCCGCUAAGCCUUCACUUUUCUCCUCUCAGGAUGUGGUGCUGUCGAGGGGCCACGGGGCAAGCACGAGCAUCUUCCUGAGAAGAGAGGCACCCUGGCUCCCUCGACAUUUGACAGUGCACCUCAGGGAGGGCUGACCCUGCUCAGAAGUCGUCCAUCCCGUUCCCAGGUGGAACCGGCAGCACGUCAGCUGCCAGCAGAGAGGGAGCAGUGCAAACCUACGCACAGGAAGUUGGGCAGGAUGUGCUUGGGCCCUGGCCUGCCAAGAUUCCAAGGAAAGCCUGAGCAUAUUUCAGGAGUGGGAAGGACACUGUGCAGAGCCUGGGCCUGUUUCUAGGAGAAGGAGAGGAGAUAUUCCCAAUGUGGAGUGAGAAUAGAGGACGAACGAAGGGAAUGCCUGAGGGGAUGGCAGGGAGGUUGAGACCUGUGGAGAGCCCUGAACACCAGGAACCAACGUUCAGAUAAGUGUAAACGCUGUCCCACUGUUGUUCCUUCUACAGGAAGGCGAGACAGGCUGGACGAUUCUUUCCCCGCUCUGUCUUUUGGGAGAGGUUUCCCUUUGUCAUGACGCUGCGCACUUGGUGUAAGCAGAUCCAGAUGCUGAGGACAUGCCCAGCCUCACCUGGCUCCCCUCAAGGCUGCGGUGUGCCCAUCUAGUUUUCUUAAGCAAUCAGCGCCAGACAGCUGAGACAGAUGCGCAGCAUUCUCCCCAGGUCAAGAGAGCGAGUUGGGCACCUAGAGGGAUCUCUAGGGCAGCGAGACAUCUGCAUGCUUUCUAGUGUGUCCUGACUACGAUGUGGGGAAGGAGCAUCUCAGUGUAGUUUUGAUUACAUUUCUCUUGACUUUCCUUGUGUACGAGAGGCAGUUAUUUCUGUUUCCGUCUCUACCUCCCCUGCCGGUCCUGCUGUGGAGUGGUUGGUCUUUUCGUCAUUAAUGUGCAGUAAUGCAACAGGAAGUGAAGACACCAUCUGCUUUGAUUCUGAUGUGUGGUGCAAGUAUAUUUCAUGCUUGGUCCUCCUUUUUAAAUUUUAUUCAUCUUUUCCUUUUUUGACCUACAGAUUUCUUCUAUCUAUCUGUAUACGGUCAGCAUAUUAAUCUUUUGUUUUAUGGUGUCUUAACGUUUACUCACACUUCUAAUCUGCACUCCAAAAUUACUCCUUUUUCUAACUCCUAUGUUUCCUUCUAGAUGUUUCAUGGUUUAACUUUUAGCGGGUUUGUGUUUUAUAUUUAAAUGCUCAGUUCAGCCCUGUCAAAUUUUGGAGCUACUUGGUCUUACUUCUGUCCUAUUUUCUACAUGUUUUCUCUUUUACUGCCUGGUUUAUAGUUUGUGUGUUCUUCAUCUUGGGUGCAUGUGCUGCUGCUGAUUAUUUCGGUUCUGGCUCAUCUUGCCGUUGCCCUCGUAACACUACUGCUCUGCGGGGUAACGUAGCUCAGAUUAGGCAGAACUUACUACUCCACCCGAAGCACCGCCACUUUCUCUACCUCCCUCCAUUACCCAAUUUUAGUUUAUCAUGUUAUUUAAAAAAUUCUCUGGGUUAGCUUCUGUCCUUUUAAUACUACUUGAUUUUCUCAGCUUUGAAUGAUUUCUUUUGACCCCCAGGACUCAGUGCUGUGAUCUCCGAGGUGUUCAACUUGUCACCAGGAGCUGGUGAGAUAGUUUAUUUGAAAGGAAAAUCCAAAAGCGUACUUAAAAAAUCAUUAGACUGGGAGGCAUGAGCCGUUAUGGCAUGAGCCAAAUGACCUAACGUUGUCAGCUAAAGCCGAGGGGUGUCCUCAGGGUCAGAUUGCACAGGAAACAGCGCAGCCCUGGCCUCCCUCUCCACGGGGCGUCUCAGGGGCUCUGGGUCAGCCUAAGCAGAGUGUCACAGGGAGGAGCCCGUCUGGAACGAUGCACUCAUCCAUGCACUCAUUCAUUCAGAGUACGUUGAUCGAGUGCCUACUGUGACGUGCGAGGGAUGCAGGAUGAACAAACCGGGCCCCUCCCUCACCACCCGCCCCCGCCUUGCACAGGGCUGGGGCCUUCUAGUGGGGUACAGCCAGCACGCAAUCAGACGUGGGUAAGGAGUCAAGUAGGUAAAUGCUAUGAACAAGAAUACAUAAAGGCGGGGGCUCCAGAUGGAUGGCGCUGACGUUUGGAGCAGGGAGCUCAGGAAAGUAGCCCCAGGAGGUGACGUUGGAGCUCUGGGUGUCCAGAGGUCAUAGAACGGGUUUGACUGAUGUGACAUCUUAGAGAAGAAGAGUCAUCUCCGUGUGGAACAAUCAGGAAAACCUCCAACCACAUGGCACUGCUGAGAGCUGGUGACUUCCUACUGUGUCGGAGCAGACGAUGCGGCUUGCUCAUCACCCAGUGCGUGAUGACACAGGCUGUCAGCUAGUGUUAGGGCCUGUGUGGCUGCUAGUUUUCCUAGGAAGGACACAGAAGUCCAGACAAAGGGACCCUUGAGGACGGGAACACCAGGAAUUCAUGGCAUUUUGUGGAAAACCUUAAAAUAG
ensembl:lncRNA